GUGCCAGCAGCCCGGUAAUACGUAUGGAGCGAGCGUUGUCCGGAAUUAUUGGGCGUAAAGGGUACGCAGGCGGUUUAAUAAGUCGAAUGUUAAAGAUCGGGGCUCAACCCCGUAAAGCAUUGGAAACUGAUAAACUUGAGUAGUGGAGAGGAAAGUGGAAUUCCUAGUGUAGUGGUGAAAUACGUAGAUAUUAGGAGGAAUACCAGUAGCGAAGGCGACUUUCUGGACACAAACUGACGCUGAGGUACGAAAGCGUGGGGAGCAAACAGGAUUAGAUACCCUGGUAGUCAAGGCG
rnacentral:rRNA from 1 species